AUAGCUGGCCAGAACUGCGCAGUCCUCUCUCGGGCGUGUCAGAGUUAGUGGCCUGGGUGAGCACAGGCCCCAUCAUCCUUAGAAAGCUCUGGAUGGUUUUUCUAGUGUGAACCCAGAAUUCAGCACCACUGCCCUUGAUAAAGCCCAGGUAAGCCUCACACUGAAGACCACAGCUAAUGUGGAAGGCAGAGUGCUAAUGCUCUUUUCUAAUUGGCAACCCCUAGUCUUUAGCCCUUAUCUGGGCCUCUCCCUUCUCUAGGCCUUACCUGCUCUGUCUUCUAUGCCCUCUGGGAUCCUUUUUUUUUUUUUUUCUGGACAACAGUUGACUAAUGUGACACUGAUACAUACUAAUGGAUGCUGCUUGUCUCCUGUAAGGUUCAUUCUUUCCACUUAACACUUCUAGAAAAAAAACAACAACAUUUGGUCAUCUAUGGAUUUAUGUAUUAGAUAGGAAAAGAAAGUGUGAGUAGGCAGACUCCACCUACCCCAGGGCUUGGCCCUGCUUUCUCCUUCAGGCAAGGCCCUGCGUGAGCAAGACCGUUGGGGUGAGAUGUGUGCAGGGACUGAGCGUCUUCCCUUCUCAGGCUCAGCCUGGAGCCAGCUUUGUUUGGUUGUCAGGCACAGUUACCUUUCCUGUGGAGCUGGGAAGACCUCACUUCCUUGUCUUGCUACAGGUUGCAGACAUUCUUUUUGCAGCUGCUGCUAGCUCCCUCAGUCUCGAGAGCAAAGGUUAAUCCCAUUUUGCCAGGAGUGACCUGAAGUGUGUCCACUCAACCACCAAGAAGACACCACGUACCACUCUGCAUGCCACCUCUUUCUUGUCUAUAACAGCGUGCCUCUAAGUUUCCCUGGAAUAGCCUGUAGGGUGUUUCCAUUCUCUUUCCAGAGAGAUACAGUGUGCCUUAGUAGGCCAUUUAGAAGAGAAUCUUAGAAACUUUCCAGAUCCUGCCUGGUCCCAUUUUCUUGGGCUUCUAUAUUUGCAACGUCACGCUUGUGAUGACUGGUAUUCAACAAUGAGUGUCUCUGUGUGUGCAUGUGGUACCGAGAUUAAAGGUGUGGCAACACCUUUGCUUCAGUUUUAUCCUUCUGAGGGCUUACUUACACAGUCCUGUCUAUGUAGCCAUCAUGGAGACUCAAUUGUGUCCAGCAGAGGGCGCCCUUUCACUUAAAAUCGCAGAGUUCCUUUUCCUCCAGGAACUUAGUUGAUUUGGUGGUUGCUGUAUUCCCAGCAUGUGUUGAAAUAUCCAAGCUGAGUGCUUUGAGAUGUGUCCUUAUAUUGCCUCGUGCAUUUCUACAGAUGCAGAUGUUUACUGUGUAGAUGAAUUGCCCACUACACCUCCGAUUCGAUUCCCUAGUUGGUAGGCAAUCUUGUAAGUUGCUACUUCUCUGUUAGUUUCAAUUAUAUUUGUUAUGUCCUUGAUUGUAUUUGUAGGUAAUAAAAGACAGUGUUCU
rnacentral:lncRNA from 1 species